rnacentral:rRNA from 1 species
AACAAACGCUGGCGGCGUGCCUAACACAUGCAAGUCGUACGAGAAAUCCUGGGCAACUGGGAGAGUAAAGUGGCGCACGGGUGAGUAACGCGUGGGUAACCUGCCCUUGAAUUGGGGAUAACUCCGCGAAAGCGGGGUUAAUACCGAAUGAUAUUCCGAUUCCUCCGGGAGUUGGAAUCAAAGGUGGCCUCUGCAUGCAAGCUACUGUUCAUGGAUGGGCCCGCGUACCAUUAGCUAGUUGGUAGGGUAACGGCCUACCAAGGCAUCGAUGGUUAGCUGGGCUGAGAGGAUGGCCAGCCACACUGGAACUGAGACACGGUCCAGACUCCUACGGGAUGCAGCAGUGGGGAAUCUUGCGCAAUGGGGGAAACCCUGACGCAGCAACGCCGCGUGGGUGAUGAAGGCCUUCGGGUCGUAAAGCCCUGUCAGGUGGGAAGAACCGUAUCGGUGCAAACAGUGCCGAUGCUUGACGGUACCACCGGAGGAAGCACCGGCUAACUCCGUGCCAGCCGCCGCGGUAAGAC